GCAGAAGGGAAACGUGAAGAAGGUGAAGAUGGCGGUGGCCAGGACCGGGGUCCUGGGAGUCCAGUGGCUGCAAAGGGCAUCCUGGAACAUGAUGCCGCUGGGCGCACGGACAGCCUCCCACAUGACCAAGGACAUGUUCCCGGGGCCCUAUCCUAGGACCCCAGAAGAACGGGCUGCCGCCGCCAAGAAGUAUAAUAUGCGUGUGGAAGACUACGAACCUUACCCGGAUGAUGGCAUGGGGUGAGACAGAGAGGGUCUGCUCGCACCCAAGUAGUGAUGGGAGAAGACCGGCUGGGUUGGGUGGCUUGACUGUGACCUUUUCUCCCGAACCUUCUCGUGACCCCUCGGAGUCAAUGGAGUGGGUGCUUUUCUCUGUGGAGGGAGGUGGGAGGGGGUGGGUGAGCAGCUGCAGCUGAGAGGACUUCAAUUUUCUCCUUGGCUCAGGCUGUUUCCUCAAAUGAGGAAGCCCAGGUUUUAAUGGCUCCCUCGAGGACCCCCGAAUAGCAGGAGCCUUCCUUGGCUCUAUCCAGAGCGUCGAGUUUCAUUUAGGUUGAGCAUCUGCUGUGCUCAGGUGCU
rnacentral:sRNA from 1 species